rnacentral:lncRNA from 1 species
UGAUCAUCGACUGCGGUGUAGUCCGACCCACGUAAGGUAUUGAGAUUCGAUAUUAAUAUUUUAUUUUUAUUUUUAGAUUAUAUGCAUGUCUUUGAUCUGGAUGCGGAUAGUUUUACAUUUGAUCUAUUGCAUGUGAGGUUAAAGGGUUUAAUCCAGAUCGCUUUCGCUAUUUCAAAAUCAAUUUUGAAAUCUAUGCAUGCAAUCCUACCC